rnacentral:sRNA from 1 species
UUACUGUUAAGGGACGGAGUGGUUUAGUGAGAGAUACCAGGAAAGCUGGUUGAGCAGAGGAAGCACAUUGAUGCGGCCAUGGUUUUGGAAGAGUAUGCCCAGGAUUAUGAAGAAGCUGUGCUCUUGCUGUUAGAAGGAGCUGCCUGGGAAGAAGCUUUGAGGCUGGUAUACAAAUAUAACAGACUGGAUAUUAUAGAAACCAACGUAAAGCCUUCCAUUUUAGAAGCCCAGAAAAAUUAUAUGGCAUUUCUGGACUCUCAGACAGCCACAUUCAGUCGCCACAAGAAACGUUUAUUGAUAGUUCGAGAGCUCAAGGAGCAAGCCCAGCAGGCAGGUCUGGAUGAUGAGGUACCCCACGGCCAAGAGUCAGACCUCUUCUCUGAAACUAGCAGUGUUGUGAGUGGCAGUGAGAUGAGUGGCAAAUACUCCCAUAGUAA